UGCAGAGAUAUGUUUUGAUGGCUGAAAUCCUCUCUUGAUUUAUCAACUCUUUGAUAGAUCUCAAGAGGAAGAAGAAGGACUUGAAAGGGAGGAAGAAGAUCCCAUCUUGCUGCCUCCUUUUCUUUUAUUCUUGUGGAUGGAAGAAGGGUGAAGAGAGAAAGCCAUACACCACCCUAUUUUUCUUUGAUGCUCAUGGCUGAAAACCCCAAGAGGAAGGAGGCUUGCGCAUGGCAGAAAAAUCAAGAGGGGAGGAGGCACUCUCACGGCACAAAAAGGAGAGAGGGGAGGAGCUCUCACGGCACAAAAACCAGAGAGAGGGGAGGAGCUCUCACGGGAAGAAAAAUCCAUGAUUUGGGCCCCCCUUUUGUUUCCCCUUUUCUUCCUUUUUUUUUUGUUUGUGUGCGGCUGAAAACCAUCAUGGGAGAGGGGGGCUGCCGUAUCCUCUUUCUUUGAUGAGAAGAGGGGGCCACAUGCUCCCUUUCUUUUUUUGUUUGAACCCUAGGCGUGAGCUCCUACAAAUUAGGAGCUCACGUCUAUCUUUUGGCAAGAGGAGGGGCGUACGCCCCUCCCUCUAAUCCUCUCAUGUCCCACGCCCAAGCCUCAUCUCAUGAGGUGCGUGGGCCCCACUUUCAGCCCCUUUUAAUCCCCUCACAAUUGAGGUCUAAUCUAAU
rnacentral:lncRNA from 1 species